rnacentral:rRNA from 1 species
GAACCUACGGGGGGCAGCAGUGAGGAAUAUUGGUCAAUGGGCGGGAGCCUGAGCCAGCCAAGUCGCGUGAGGGAAGAAGGUACUGAGUAUUGUAAACCUCUUUUGCCAGGGGACAAAGGCGGCCACGGGUGGCCGUAAGAGGGUACCUGGAGAAAAAGCAUCGGCUAACUCCGUGCCAGCAGCCGCGGUAAUACGUAGGGGGCUAGCGUUAUCCGGAAUUACUGGGCGUAAAGGGUGCGUAGGUGGUUUCUUAAGUCAGAGGUGAAAGGCUACGGCUCAACCGUAGUAAGCCUUUGAAACUGGGA